rnacentral:rRNA from 1 species
GAUGAACGCUAGCUACAGGCUUAACACAUGCAAGUCGAGGGGCAGCAUGGUCUUAGCUUGCUAAGGCCGAUGGCGACCGGCGCACGGGUGAGUAACACGUAUCCAACCUGCCGUCUACUCUUGGACAGCCUUCUGAAAGGAAGAUUAAUACAAGAUGGCAUCAUGAGUCCGCAUGUUCACAUGAUUAAAGGUAUUCCGGUAGACGAUGGGGAUGCGUUCCAUUAGAUAGUAGGCGGGGUAACGGCCCACCUAGUCUUCGAUGGAUAGGGGUUCUGAGAGGAAGGUCCCCCACAUUGGAACUGAGACACGGUCCAAACUCCUACGGGAGGCAGCAGUGAGGAAUAUUGGUCAAUGGGCGCAGGCCUGAACCAGCCAAGUAGCGUGAAGGAUGACUGCCCUAUGGGUUGUAAACUUCUUUUAUAAAGGAAUAAAGUCGGGUAUGUAUACCCGUUUGCAUGUACUUGAUGAAUAAGGAUCGGCUAACUCCGUG